UACUUUCUCCCCUCCACAGAUUCACGUGGCAAUACCACCAUUCUUCAGGAAAACACUUGCCAACACAAUUGUUAAGCACGUGUACUACAAAAUUGUAGAAAAAUAGUUCUGUUCCCCUUUGCUUCACAAUUAUUGUACUAAAAUGUCGUCCAAAUUUUAUCAGUCUCGGAGUUAUCGUCAAAGUGAGCAAAGGUGAAGUCAGAGCGGGGAGUUGGAUUUCAUUUGAAAGGAGUUCUCUACCUUCUUAUCAUUCACCAUUUCAAGAGGCGUAUUUAUUACUAUCGAGCAAUAAUAGAGCUCUUCUUUUGAGUCAAGGGUCUAAAGCAAACCACAUCUAAACCAUCAUAAAGAUAGGGAUAAUGUCUGCAUACAUCUUGCCCUCUCCAUAGUCCACUUGCGGAAUUACAAUAGCUAUGUUGUUAUAUUUAUCACAUUUCUUCAUGUGUAGACUGCCGUCGAAUAAUGCAACAAUAAAUCGCCUUUGGACCCAUCAUAUAGCAGACUCUAAAACUCUAACAUGGCUUUCUUUCAAAGUGUCAUAAAGGAAGGGAAAACAAGAAAAGACAACAGAGAAUGGGAGGAAGAUAAGUCAAUUAUCCUUGCAAAAAUUUCAAAUAAAAAGCAGGAUACUCCCUACAAUUGGAAAACAUGAAGCAGGACAAAGAAGAAAAUAAGAAAUAUAUGCAUAAGUCGACGAAAACUGUUAUCAAAUCAUCACAUCUACUCAAGGUUUGGAAUAGAGAAUCAAGCUAAA